rnacentral:rRNA from 1 species
UACGUAGGGUGCAAGCGUUGUCCGGAAUUAUUGGGCGUAAAGAGCUCGUAGGCGGUUUGUCGCGUCUGCUGUGAAAACUCGGGGCUUAACCCCGGGCCUGCAGUGGGUACGGGCAGACUAGAGUGCGGUAGGGGAGACUGGAAUUCCUGGUGUAGCGGUGAAAUGCGCAGAUAUCAGGAGGAACACCGGUGGCGAAGGCGGUUCUCUGGGCAUUACCCGACGCUGAGGAGCGAAAGUGUGGGGAGCGAACAGG